UGUCCAGUAGCACCUUAGAGACCAAUUAAGUAUGUUCUGGGUAUAAGCUUUCGUAUGCAUGCAUGUAUCUGAAGAAGUGUACAUGCACACGAAAGCUUAUACCCAGAACAUACUUAGUUGGUCUCUAAGGUGCUACUGGACA
rnacentral:miRNA from 1 species